rnacentral:rRNA from 1 species
GAACCGUCCAAACGUUAUUCGGAAUCACUGGGCUUAAAGAGUCCGUAGGCGGUUCAGAAAGUAGGGUGUGAAAUCCCACGGCUCAACCGUGGAACUGCGCUCUAAACUUCUGAACUUGAGGGAGCUAGAGGUAAGCGGAACUGAUGGUGGAGCGGUGAAAUGCGUUGAUAUCAUCAGGAACACCGGAGGCGAAGGCGGCUUACUGGGGCUUUUCUGACGCUGAGGGACGAAAGCUAGGGUAGCGAACGGGAUUAGAUACCUCGGUAGUCCUAGCCGUAAACGAUGAGCACUGAGCCGGAGGCCUGCACAGGUUUCCGGCUGUAGCGAAAGUGUUAAGUGCUCCGCCUGGGGAGUAUGGUCGCAAGGCUG